AUGCAAACGUCGUGCACUUGUUACCCGGAUGAUCUACUCGCCAAAACGGCAGUUUGUCAUCUUAAAAAUAUUUCCCAUCAAACUAGGAAAUGUCAGGAAUCAUCUAGAUUGUCCUUCACUGAGUUGUGUUUUCCUGAGAGAGAUGAAACUUCAGCUAGCUGUGUUUCUGCACCAACAAACACCAAAGGAAGUAAGAUGAUGGAGGGAUUUUUUGUUUUAUUUAUUGUUGUUUGAGUGGGUUAAUGUGGUUUCUCCUCAGAUGACAGGAUUUACAUCUUGGGCUCUUGAUGUCUACUGUACAUCAAGGACGUCUGUAAUACCUGGAGAAAGCCGUUCGUUAGUAUUCUCAUUCAUCUCAGAGACAGUUGCUCAGCUGCUGUAGGAUGUACGUGAUUGGAAAUCUGCUAUCUUUGCUCAUGGGAACAAUAGAAAUAUACAGUACUUUCAGAGAUCCAUGAACCAGCCGACUUUUUAUAUAACUUUCUUUUAUUAUUUUUGGUUUCUUUGUUUGUUUGUUCUUGUUUUGAAAGUCGCUUUGGAUAAAAGCAUCUGCUAAAUGUUUUAAUUGAACUGAAUUGUAUUUAUUUAUUUAUUUAUUAUUGUUGUUAUUAUUAUUUUUUAUAGUUCAUUUAUAGUAUAUGAAAAGCUGUCUAUUAGUAUUAUGUGUGAUGCACCUGCUAACCAGCUAAAUCUUGAACAUCGACUCCUUUUAUUAUUAUUUUUAAAUAUGUUAUUUUAUUUAUUUUCUUUUUUUUCUUUUUACUUUAUCACUCAUUUAUAGCUAUAGAGGAUAACUAUUUAUAAGUAUACUUUUUGGCCCAUUUUGUUUUAUUUUUGUUUAAUUAUUUUAUUGUUUUUAUUAACUAAUUUAUUUUAUUUUUAAACUUUUUUUAAACUUUUUUGGCUAAACCUAUUUGAUUUUAGUUAUUAUUUAAUUAUGUAAUGUUUUUAUGGUUCAUUUUAUGGAUAGCUCUCUAUAAAUAUUGGAUUUUUGGCCCAUGCUAACCAUCUAAACC
ensembl:lncRNA